rnacentral:ncRNA from 1 species
ACAAACGCAUUGAUGGAGACAGUACAAAACGGAAAUCCGAUCGAGCGAGCCGGGGGCGGUGGAAGCCUGGCGCGGGGCCGUCUUGGAAAAUCACUCCUGAGCUGGACCGGUGAACGCAAGUAACCGGGCCCGUCCCCGCCACGUUACGGUGUAGAGUUGGCAGCACACAGCUGCAACAAGGGUGGUACCGCGAGCUUCUCGUCCCUUUC